rnacentral:rRNA from 1 species
CGCGGCAAGACGGAAAGACCCCGUGAACCUUUACUAUAGCUUGACACUGAACAUUGAGCCUUGAUGUGUAGGAUAGGUGGGAGGCUUUGAAGUGUGGACGCCAGUCUGCAUGGAGCCGACCUUGAAAUACCACCCUUUAAUGUUUGAUGUUCUAACGUUGGCCCGUAAUCCGGGUUGCGGACAGUGUCUGGUGGGUAGUUUGACUGGGGCGGUCUCCUCCUAAAGAGUAACGGAGGAGCACGAAGGUUGGCUAAUCCUGGUCGGACAUCAGGAGGUUAGUGCAAUGGCAUAAGCCAGCUUGACUGCGAGCGUGACGGCGCGAGCAGGUGCGAAAGCAGGUCAUAGUGAUCCGGUGGUUCUGAAUGGAAGGGCCAUCGCUCAACGGAUAAAAGGUACUCCGGGGAUAACAGGCUGAUACCGCCCAAGAGUUCAUAUCGACGGCGGUGUUUGGCACCUCGAUGUCGGCUCAUCACAUCCUGGGGCUGAAGUAGGUCCCAAGGGUAUGGCUGUUCGCCAUUUAAAGUGGUACGCGAGCUGGGUUUAGAACGUCGUGAGACAGUUCGGUCCCUAUCUGCCGUGGGCGCUGGAGAACUGAGGGGGGCUGCUCCUAGUACGAGAGGACCGGAGUGGACGCAUCACUGGUGUUCGGGUUGUCAUGCCAAUGGCACUGCCCGGUAGCUAAAUGCGGAAGAGAUAAGUGCUGAAAGCAUCUAAGCACGAAACUUGCCCCGAGAUG